GUCUACGGCCAUGCUACCCUGAACAAGACUGAUCCUGUCUGAUCUCAGAAGCUAAGCAGGGUCGGGCCUAGUUAGUACUUGGAUGGGAGACCACUUAGGAAGACUAGGUGCUGUAGGCA
rnacentral:rRNA from 1 species